UACGUAGGCUCCAAGCGUUGUUCGGAAUUACUGGGCGUAAAGCGAGUGUAGGCGGUCUGUCAAGUCAAUUGUGAAAUCUCCCGGCUCAACUGGGAGGGUGCAAUCGAAACUGGCAGACUAGAGUGCGAGAGGGGAGAGUGGAAUUCCUGGUGUAGCGGUGAAAUGCGUAGAUAUCAGGAGGAACACCGGUGGUGAAGACGGCUCUCUGGAUCGCAACUGACGCUGAGACUCGAAAGCGUGGGGAGCAAACAGG
rnacentral:rRNA from 1 species